rnacentral:rRNA from 1 species
CAGUCGCCACGGGAAUACGGAGGGGGCUAGCGUUGUUCGGAAUUACUGGGCGUAAAGCGCACGUAGGCGGUUAUUCAAGUCAGAGGUGAAAGCCCGGGGCUCAACCCCGGAACUGCCUUUGAGACUAGAUGACUAGAAUCUUGGAGAGGCGAGUGGAAUUCCGAGUGUAGAGGUGAAAUUCGUAGAUAUUCGGAAGAGCACCAGUGGCGAAGGCGGCUCGCUGGACAAGUAUUGACGCUGAGGUGCGAAAGCGUGGGGGGCAAACAGGAUUAGAUACCCCAGUAGUCCCUGUCUCUUAUAC